rnacentral:sRNA from 1 species
CAUCUCGUGUGUCCUGGAAAUUCCCUCUGCUGGGUCCUCAGACUGCCACAGAGGAGCAUUGGGUGGCUCAGGCACCUCAUCCAUUAGAGACUUCACGCUGACCCCCAGGCCUGGGGCGGCCCCACUUGGGAUGGCUCUGCUGCUGUGGAGGGUGGAGGGCAUGGCAGGGGCUGAACCCGAGCCCACUGUGUCUGUUGCAGAGCCCCCCGGGCCCAUUGACAACAGCAGGAUUGCACAGGUCAAAGGAAGCGGCCACGUCCAGCUGAAGCAGGGAGCUGACUACGGGCAGAUUUCGGAGGAGACCUGGACCUACCUGAACAGCCUGUAUGGAGGUGGCCCCGAGAUUGCCAUCCGCCAGAGCGUGGCGCAGCCGCUGGGCCCAGAGAGCCUGCACGGGGAGCAGAAGAUCGAAGCCGAGACGCGGGCUGUGUGAUCUGCUGGGCUCGUCUCCCCACGUGCCCCACCCCGCGGAAGGCGUGUUUGUGCCCAGAAGAGAGGCCGGGCUGCUGCAGAACCCCGCCGUGUAAAGAGGCAGAAAAGUUGGUUUGGUUCGCAGUGAGUAACGCUGCAACUAGAAAAUAUAUGCACUUCAGGCUUGUUGAAACGACCAAGACUCUGUGACGUUAAUUUGGGUCUUUGUCCUGGCAGUGCCUCUGCCAGUCACUGUCAUCGUUGUGUCCCCCACAACUGUCCUCUUGCUAGCUCGGCCCAGCUUUGUCCCUGGAGCCCGAUGCUACCCCUGUCAGACAGAGGCUGCGGCCUGGGCCAGAGUCAGGGAGUAGCUGCUGCUUCACGGCGUCUCCACUGUGCUAUUGGCCCGGACCCCCGAAGACUUGGAGGGAGCUGCUCAGGGCCGGUGAGCGCAGCCAGAAGCCCUGGCCAGUGAGGAGCUCACAGGUCCUCCCUGGUGGUCCCGCCGCACCUCUGCAUCUCCUGGGCGUCACCAGGAAGGCUCUGAAGUCCCGGGCUGCUCUCAGCACUUCUCCUGCAGACUGAAGACUCUGGACUCAUUGCUGAUUGGAACACCAGGAGGAGGUUGGAUUUCUGCCAGUGGGGGAUGUUUCUGGAGGCAGCUGGUCCCCCACACCGCGUCCUGCUGAGCCUGCCCCCUGGAUUGGCUGUAAUUUGCCUCGAAGUUCAGCAGUGCAUCUUCAUGGGAAAUUUGCUGAGCCCCCACCAGGGAACCAGAUGAUGAAACAGGGAUACCUCACAGCUUGGCCAUUUGCUGCAAAGGCAGCUUCCCGAGCUGAUGCUAAAGAAGACAGACUUUCCCUUCGUCCCAGCAGCAGCAGUGCGGAGCCCGCCUGGAGGCAUGUGGGGGCUGUGCAGGGUGCAGCGCUCAGGUGGAUCCUGGGAAGCAGCCUCUGGAUGCUGAGUGGAGGGAGCCACUGAGCACAGCAAGGCACCAAAGCCCCUGGAGAAACCGCCAGGGCGAGGUGCGGCCAUCAUCAGGGUCAAAGCAGACGGGGCGUGGGUGGGGAAGGGGCUCUGGGACCAGACCCCCCACACUACUGCGUCUUUGUUUCUAUCAGUCUUUGUAGAAGCAGAUGGUGGUGGAAAUUCCAGCAGGUGGGUCCCGCAGAGGCCCUGAGGCCUCACUUUUCGGAUCUUCUGUCCCAGAUCCUGCUCCCUCCCUGCUGAGCCUGGGGUUCCCCUGGCAUUGGCCCCAGCCUUCUGAAAGCUGGCGCUGCAGCCAGAGGCCACACGCUGCACUGUCGCGACGCAGAGAGGCUUCUGUGCAGGCUGGGAUCGGGCCCCAUGUCUGUGCUGUCUAGUUUGUGUUCAAAAUGUCAGAAUAAACACAGAAUAAACGUU